UGUUUGAAAGCGAAUAUUUGCACUAAGUUUCGGCCUUAGUUUUGAGAAAAAUCUCUCAAACAG
rnacentral:tRNA from 1 species